rnacentral:rRNA from 1 species
GAUGAACGCUGGCGGCGUGCCUAAUACAUGCAAGUCGAGCGAAUGGAUUAAGAGCUUGCUCUUAUGAAGUUAGCGGCGGACGGGUGAGUAACACGUGGGUAACCUGCCCAUAAGACUAGGAUAACUCCGGGAAACCGGGGCUAAUACCGGAUAACAUUUUGAACCGCAUGGUUCGAAAUUGAAAGGCGGCUUCGGCUGUCACUUAUGGAUGGACGCGCGUCGCAUUAGCUAGUUGGUGAGGUAACGGCUCACCAAGGCAACGAUGCGUAGCAGACCUGAGAGGGUGAUCGGCCACACUGGGACUGAGACACGGCUCAGACUCCUACGGGAGGCAGCAGUAGGGAAUCUUCCGCAAUGGACGAAAGUCUGACGGAGCAACGCCGCGUGAGUGAUGAAGGCUUUCGGGUCGUAAAACUCUGUUGUUAGGGAAGAACAAGUGCUAGUUGAAUAAGCUGGCACCUUGACGGUACCUAACCAGAAAGCCACGGCUAACUACGUGCCAGCCGCCGCAGUAA